CAGCAUUCUUAAACCCUCUUGGUAGCUUCCUUUGUACUUACUUCCAAGAUAAUGAAUGAAUGCUACAGAAAUGGCAGGAGAGUCCAAAGGGCUCAUCCUCCUGUGGCUCAGCCUUAUUUCUUACCUGUGACAUUU
rnacentral:snoRNA from 1 species